AGUGAACGCUGGCGGUAGGCCUAACACAUGCAAGUCGAACGGCAGCACAGUAAGAGCUUGCUCUUACGGGUGGCGAGUGGCGGACGGGUGAGGAAUACAUCGGAAUCUACUUUUUCGUGGGGGAUAACGUAGGGAAACUUACGCUAAUACCGCAUACGACCUACGGGUGAAAGCAGGGGAUCUUCGGACCUUGCGCGAUUGAAUGAGCCGAUGUCGGAUUAGCUAGUUGGCGGGGUAAAGGCCCACCAAGGCGACGAUCCGUAGCUGGUCUGAGAGGAUGAUCAGCCACACUGGAACUGAGACACGGUCCAGACUCCUACGGGAGGCAGCAGUGGGGAAUAUUGGACAAUGGGCGCAAGCCUGAUCCAGCCAUACCGCGUGGGUGAAGAAGGCCUUCGGGUUGUAAGCCCUUUUGUUGGGAAAGAAAAGCAGCAGGUUAAUACCCCGCUGUUCUGACGGUACCCAAAGGAUAAGCACCGGCUAACUUCGUG
rnacentral:rRNA from 1 species